rnacentral:rRNA from 1 species
CCUACGGGAGGCAGCAGUAGGGAAUUUUGCGCAAUGGGCGAAAGCCUGACGCAGCAACGCCGCGUGAUUGAUUAAGCCCUUCGGGGUGUAAAGAUCUGUCAGUGGGGACGAAACUUGACGGUACCCACAGAGGAAGCACCGGCUAACACCGUGCCAGCAGCCGCGGUAAUACGGAGGGUGCAAGCGUUGUGCGGAAUCAUUGGGUGGAAAAAGUUCGUAGGUGGCAUCUUAAGUCUGGUGUUAAAUGCAGAAGCUCAACUUCUGUUCGGCACUGGAUACUGGUCAGCUAGAAUGCGGUAGAGGUACAGGGAAUUCCAGGUGUAGCGGUGAAAUGCGUAGAUAUAAGGAGGAACACCGGUGGCGUAAGCGCUUUACUGGGCCGUAAUUGACGCUGAGGAACGAAAGCCUGGGUAGCAAAUGGGAUUAGAUACCCUAGUAGUC